GACUGCGUACCUUUUGUAUAAUGGGUCAGCGACUUAUAUUCUGUAGCAAGGUUAACCGCAUAGGGGAGCCGGAGGGAAACCGAGUCUUAAUUGGGCGUUAAGUUGCAGGGUAUAGACCCGAAACCCGGUGAUCUAGCCAUGGGCAGGUUGAAGGUUGGGUAACACUAACUGGAGGACCGAACCGACUAAUGUUGAAAAAUUAGCGGAUGACCUGUGGCUGGGGGUGAAAGGCCAAUCAAACCGGGAGAUAGCUGGUUCUCCCCGAAAGCUAUUUAGGUAGCGCCUCGUGAAUUCAUCUCCGGGGGUAGAGCACUGUUUCGGCUAGGGGGCCAUCCCGGCUUACCAACCCGAUGCAAACUGCGAAUACCGGAGAAUGUUAUCACGGGAGACACACGGCGGGUGCUAACGUCCGUCGUGAAGAGGGAAACAACCCAGACCGCCAGCUAAGGUCCCAAAGUCAUGGUUAAGUGGGAAACGAUGUGGGAAGGCCCAGACAGCCAGGAUGUUGGCUUAGAAGCAGCCAUCAUUUAAAGAAAGCGUAAUAGCUCACUGGUCGAGUCGGCCUGCGCGGAAGAUGUAACGGGGCUAAACCAUGCACCGAAGCUGCGGCAGCGACACUAUGUGUUGUUGGGUAGGGGAGCGUUCUGUAAGCCUG
rnacentral:rRNA from 1 species